rnacentral:rRNA from 1 species
GGGAAACUGACUGCUUAUUGCACCACAUGUGUUUUUCUUUGAAACAAACUUGCUUUGGCGGUGGGCCCAGCCUGCCGCCAGAGGUCUAAACUUACAACCAAUUUUUUAUCAACUUGUCACACCAGAUUAUUACUAAUAGUCAAAACUUUCAACAACGGAUCUCUUGGUUCUCGCAUCGAUGAAGAACGCAGCGAAAUGCGAUACGUAAUAUGAAUUGCAGAUAUUCGUGAAUCAUCGAAUCUUUGAACGCACAUUGCGCCCUCUGGUAUUCCGGAGGGCAUGCCUGUUUGAGCGUCGUUUCUCCCUCAAACCGCUGGGUUUGGUGUUGAGCAAUACGACUUGGGUUUGCUUGAAAGACGGUAGUGGUAAGGCGGGAUCGCUUUGACAAUGGCUUAGGUCUAACCAAAAACAUUGCUUGCGGCGGUAACGUCUACCACGUAUAUCUUCAAACUUUGACCUCAAAUCAGGUAGGACUACCCGCUGAACUUAAGCAUAUCAAAAGGCGGGAGGAAAA